GGAGCCUCCGCGCCGCCCGCCUGCGCCCACAACGGCUCGCUCGGGCAAUGGCUGCAGCGGCUUUCCAUCGGAUGGAAGUACCACGACGGGAAGAUCUACUACUUCUCCAGUGACCGCAAGCCCUGGAAGGACGCCGAGGACUUCUGCGUGUCGAAGAAAUCCCACCUGGUCUCUGUGAC